ACCCCAUUUUCCACCAUUUCCCCUUGUUUUUCCUCCUUUUCCUCCAUUUUUCUCUUUUUCUUUUUCUUUUUUCUUUUAUUUCUUUUAAUAUUUUUUUCCUUUUUCUUUUAUUUAUUAUAUAACUAUUGAAAACCCAAAAAAAAUAUUUUAUUUAUUUAUUUUCUUUUCUAUAUUUUUAUAUUUAAAAAUAAUAUUUAUUUUGUUAUUUAGUUUUUAAUUUUAUAUUAAAAAAUCCAAAAAAAAAAA
rnacentral:lncRNA from 1 species